rnacentral:rRNA from 1 species
CCUACGGGCGGCAGCAGUCGAGAAUCAUUCACAAUGGGGGAAACCCUGAUGGUGCGACGCCGCGUGGGGGAAUGAAGGUCUUCGGAUUGUAAACCCCUGUCAUGUGGGAGCAAAUUAAAAAGAUAGUACCACAAGAGGAAGAGACGGCUAACUCUGUGCCAGCAGCCGCGGUAAUACAGAGGUAUCAAGCGUUGUUCGGAAUCACUGGGCGUAAAGCGUGCGUAGGCUGUUUCGUAAGUCGUGUGUGAAAGGCGCGGGCUCAACCCGCGGACGGCACAUGAUACUGCGAGACUAGAGUAAGGGAGGGGGAACCGGAAUUCUCGGUGUAGCAGUGAAAUGCGUAGAUAUCGAGAGGAACACUCGUGGCGAAGGCGGGUUCCUGGACAUUAACUGACGCUGAGGCACGAAGGCCAGGGGAGCGAAAGGGAUUAGAUACCCCAGUAGUC